rnacentral:ncRNA from 1 species
AUUAAAGAUAUGAACGAACGAGUACCUUACAUUUUGUUGCAAAGAGAGUCACGCUGAAGUUGAGAAGUGAUCAACAGAUUAAGGGAACCACAUUCGUGAUAAUUGACAUAUUAAACGUAUGUUCGGGUCGCUCCGUUACAAGCUUUACCUUGGAUACAAGGUAAAUGAGUGUUAGGCAGUAAUGUCUAACAAAAUUGAGGUGGAAUCACGAAUUUUAUCGUCCUCAAG